rnacentral:rRNA from 1 species
AGUGGCAGACGGGUGAGUAACAUGUGGGUAUCUACCCUUUGGCCUGGAAUAACACGAGGAAACUUGUGCUAAUACCGGAUAAGUCUUUACGGAGAAAGCUUUAUGCACCAUUGGAUGAGCCCGCACUUGAUUAGUUUGUUGGUAGGGUAAUGGCCUACCAAGACUAUGAUCAAUAGCUGAUUUGAGAGGAUGAUCAGCCACAUUGGGACUGAGACACGGCCCAAACUCCUACGGGAGGCAGCAGUGGGGAAUCUUGCACAAUGGAGGAAACUCUGAUGCAGCGAUGCCGCGUGAGUGAAGAAGGCCUUUGGGUUGUAAAGCUCUUUCGUCGGGGAAGAAAAUGACUGUACCCGAAUAAGAAGGUCCGGCUAACUUCGUGCCAGCAGCCGCGGUAAUACGAAGGGACCUAGCGUAGUUCGGAAUUACUGGGCUUAAAGAGUUCGUAGGUGGUUGAAAAAGUUGGUGGUGAAAUCCCAGAGCUUAACUCUGGAACUGCCAUCAAAACUUUUCAGCUAGAGUAUGAUAGAGGAAAGCAGAAUUUCUAGUGUAGAGGUGAAAUUCGUAGAUAUUAGAAAGAAUACCAACUGCGAAGGCAGCUUUCUGGAUCAUUACUGACACUGAGGAACGAAAGCAUGGGUAGCGAAGAGGAUUAGAUACCCUCGUAGUCCAUGCCGA